ACGACUCUCGGCAACGGAUAUCUCGGCUCACGCAUCGAUGAAGAACGCAGCAAAAUGCGAUACUUGGUGUGAAUUGCAGAAUCCCGUGAACCAUCGAGUUUUUGAACGCAAGUUGCGCCCGAAGCCAUUUGGUUGAGGGCACGUCUGCCUGGGCGUCACAC
rnacentral:rRNA from 2 species